rnacentral:lncRNA from 1 species
CCUUGUUAAUAGCUAAUUAUAUUCAAGCAUGGAAAUAUGUAUUGAGAAGACUAGAAACUUACAACAGGCUGUAUUUGAUGCCGUCUAACUUGAUGUAAAAUGUUACAGAUUAUCAUGAAUAUGGUCAUAUUCUUAAAUUUGCAUCAUGGAUGGGGUCCUAGCUGUUGUUAGGCACUUCUUAAAAAUAGAGGAUUGCGUCAAGUGGCGCCUGACUAACAUUCAACAGUAAAACGUGACAUGGGAGGUCCAUGAGUUUGGAUAUUCCGGUUACUGGCUUGUGAUUCUAGUGCAGAUAGACCUAAUUCCAGCUGCCAGUAGGUCAUAAUCAAAGAACAAGCUUGGCUUGGUUAGAGAGGACAUCUCUUUUAAAUCUCUGCUUCUCAAUUUUCAAAUUUUUCUGAAGAACAUCAAGAGAUAGACCUCAAUUAAGAUUCAUCAUGAAGUUUUGACAUACCAUGGCUAUGUACCCAUUCCAUCACCUCUGAUCUGCAAGUAACAUGGCAAGCCUAUCAAGAAGAACCUGAAUUCAUAUUAGAGAUUGGCCCAAACUUUCUACAAGAGUUACAGAGAAACAAAUUGUUUCACUACCAAGAAAACUGGUAAAUUCAUUGUCCUCACGAAUCUGACUGGUCAAUGGCAGCUCAUUCAAAUGCAGGCUUGUCCCACACCAGCUCUCACCAGAAGCAUAUCGUAAAGCGUUAAGCUGAAUCAAAACCUGUUCACCUUAACUUUGUAGAAAAAGCAGCAGCAGCAACCGCUGCUUACAAAUAGCUCACUCAUGAUAUAUGAUUAUUAUAUCAUAGGCCAAUAACU